GACGAACGCUGGCGGCGUGCUUAACACAUGCAAGUCGAACGAUGAACCGGGUGCUUGCACUUGGGGAUUAGUGGCGAACGGGUGAGUAACACGUGAGUAACCUGCCCUGGACUCUGGGAUAACCCCGAGAAAUCGGAGCUAAUACCGGAUAGGACCUUUCCCCGCAUGGGGUUUGGUGGAAAGUUUUUCGGUCUGGGAUGGACUCGCGGCCUAUCAGCUUGUUGGUGAGGUAAUGGCUCACCAAGGCGUCGACGGGUAGCCGGCCUGAGAGGGUGACCGGCCACACUGGGACUGAGACACGGCCCAGACUCCUACGGGAGGCAGCAGUGGGGAAUAUUGCACAAUGGGCGCAAGCCUGAUGCAGCAACCCCGCGUGCGGGAUGACGGCCUUCGGGUUGUAAACCGCUUUUAGUAGGGAAGAAGGGCUUCGGCUUGACGGUACCUGCAGAAAAAGGACCGGCUAACUACGUGCCAGCCGCCGCGGUAACAC
rnacentral:rRNA from 1 species